rnacentral:lncRNA from 1 species
GCGCGGUGACGCCGGACGUCGGAGGGCGCGGGCAGCCGGGCGGACGGACGGAGCGGAGGCGGCUCAGCGAGCCGCGAUUGGUGGAUCGGGCUGUCGGCGUGUCCCGGCCGAGGCGCUCCGGGGUUGAUUUGCUCGUAUCUCCCAAGCCACCGGGACCCGUUUAAGUUGAAUUAUUGAUUGGCACUCAAUGCUAAUCCAAAAGUAAAUGAGAAACUUAGAGAAAGAUUGCCAAUCCCAAAUCAACACACUUACAGAGAAUUGGAAAAGAAGAAGAUUUACGGCUUCAUUUGAGGACUUUUGUAAAGAACUCGGGUUCCAAUAUGAGCUCUAAAAUCUUGGAGCGAGAGCUGGCGGCAGUGCCAGAUCAAACAAGUUCAGGAGGACGACUGGAGGACUGGUUAAAAGAUCCGCCCCGCUGCCACCCGAAAGUAGAGAUUCCACAGGAAAAGCAAAAUCCUCAUCUGGCCCGAACGUGGAAAGCCGCUCCAGCCACGUGACGAACCUGUGGGCCCGGCAGAGUGUGAGAACGAGAGCCUGAGGGUACUAAGUCCGAGGAGCCUCCCGCCUGUGGGGGCGGAGCGGGCCCCUCUCGAUGACAUCGAGGACUGUCGUGUUCCUGAAGGACCCAGGUGAGCACGGGCCCCUCCCCCUCCCCACAAAGGGUGGAACGGGGCG